rnacentral:tRNA from 1 species
GGGUAGCUCAGUUGAUUAGAGCAUGGUGCUGAUAACACCAAGGCCACAGGUUCGAUCCCCAUAAGAGACA